rnacentral:rRNA from 1 species
GAUGAACGCUGGCGGCGUGCCUAGUACAUGCAAGUCGAGCGAACAGACGAGGAACUUGCUCCUCUUACGUUAGCGGCGGACGGGUGAGUAACACGUGGAUAACCGACCUAUAAGACUGGGAUAACUUCGGGAAACCGGAGCUAAUACCGGAUAAUAUAUUGAACCGCAUGGUUCAAUAGUGAAAGACGGUUUUGCUGUCACUUAUAGAUGGAUCCGCGCCGCAUUAGCUAGUUGGUAAGGUAACGGCUUACCAAGGCGACGAUGCGUAGCCGACCUGAGAGGGUGAUCGGCCACACUGGAACUGAGACACGGUCCAGACUCCUACGGGAGGCAGCAGUAGGGAAUCUUCGGCAAUGGGCGCAAGCCUGACGGAGCAACGCCGCGUGAGUGAUGAAGGUCUUCGGAUCGUAAAACUCUGUUAUUAGGGAAGAACAAAGGUGUAAGUAACUAUGCACGGCUUGACGGUACCUAAUCAGAAAGCAACGGCUAACUACGUG